rnacentral:lncRNA from 1 species
ACGCGAACAUAUUUGUAUCGAGUUUAGACCGCCACACUUGUGUCGACUAGUGUUGUAUCGCCGUUCGCCUGCAAGCUCCGAGAACACCACGAUGAAGACAACGGUGCUGAUGCUGGCCGUACUUCUUAUCUCAGCAGUGAUGCUGACCCAGGGAUCACCAGCUAAAGGUUCAGGAUCCAGGUUAUUUAGCAGUUCACAAAGCAAGAAAUGUGGGAGCUACUACUGCGAACCGCACCAGACCUGCGAGCCAUCUUUUGUGGGGCCUUCAUGCACCAGUAAACGUGGAGGCAACAAAAAUCCCCAUGGAUGAACACCAACAAGAUCAACCUGCUUGGCUGCUCAAUAAAGUUAAUUGCGCUCACCAA